CACCUUUGCCUCGUCCCCUGCCCAAUCUAAGCUCGCCGCAGCGCAGCCCCUAGUCGGCGGAUGCCGUCUGUGACUUCGUGUGCCGCUCCAUAUCCUUCCACACGGGCGCCGCCCUUGAUGAGCCCGUGUUCUCCUCCACCGUCACCGCCACUGGUGGUGGGUUCAGGGAGCGGAUCAGCAACCGCCUUCGCAGGACGUCCAAGAGCCCCUCACCCAUGCACCGCCUCUUGCCACCGCCGUCGCCGCCGCCCGUGCCCGCGGCCUCCGACAGAAGAGGUGGGGGGUAGCGCCAUAUGGGAAGAAGGAGGAGGAGAGGAGAUCCCGCCGAUCCGGUGGCGAAAGGGAGAUCCCAUCGGAGCGGCGCGUUCAGGCAGGUUUACCUCAGCAUGAAUCUGGACUCUGGAGAGCUCAUCACCAUCAAGUAGAUUUUGAUCGGUUAAGAGCUAGAGAGGGAGGCAGUGGAGGCGGAGGCGUAGCUACGGCAGAAGGAGGAGAACGUCGUGCUGAAGCGGCAGAUCGAGGGCUACCACAUUAGGUGGCUGGAGUAUGAGAUCAAGAUCAAGUCCUUGGAGGAAGCCUUCCAUGAACAAAUGGCUGCAUUGCAGAUGGCUCAAGAUGCUGCCGCAAGGGCAGGUGAGACAGCGUAUGAUCACCGGUGAAUCCUUCAAAGUCCCACAUGAAGAUGUCCGAGGAACCGUGGUCACCUUUUGUGAAUUGAAACCAGCAGUUAAGGUUAAUUUCUUCUGAACUCCGGAUCUUGAACAAACUGAGCAAGCAAUUAAAUGGAGAAGACUGGAGUUGGAAUAACCUCAAUACUAUCUGCUGGUCUAUUGGAUCGAUAUCAGGUUCGAUGGUA